GCCUCCUUAGCUCAGUUGGUUAGAGCGCCGGACUGUUAAUCCGUAGGUCCUAGGUUCAAGUCCUAGAGGGGGCG
rnacentral:tRNA from 1 species